CGUAGGUGGCAAGCGUUGUCCGGAAUUAUUGGGCGUAAAGCGCGCGCAGGCGGUUCCUUAAGUCUGAUGUGAAAGCCCCCGGCUCAACCGGGGAAGGUCAUUGGAAACUGGGGAACUUGAGUGCAGAAGAGAAGAGCGGAAUUCCACGUGUAGCGGUGAAAUGCGUAGAGAUGUGGAGGAGCACCAGUGGCGAAGGCGGCUCUUUGGUCUGUAACUGACGCUGAGGCGCGAAAGCGUGGGGAGCAAACAGGAUUAGAUACCCUGGUAGUCCACGCCGUAAACGAUGAGUGCUAAGUGUUAGAGGGUUUCCGCCCUUUAGUGCUGCAGCUAACGCAUUAAGCACUCCGCCUGGGGAGUACGGCCGCAAGGCUG
rnacentral:rRNA from 1 species